rnacentral:rRNA from 1 species
CCUACGGGUGGCAGCAGUGGGGAAUAUUGCACAAUGGGGGAAACCCUGAUGCAGCGACGCCGCGUGAGUGAAGAAGUAAUUCGUUAUGUAAAGCUCUAUCAGCAGGGACGAAAAUGACGGUACCUGAGUAAGAAGCCCCGGCUAACUACGUGCCAGCAGCCGCGGUAAUACGUAGGGGGCAAGCGUUAUCCGGAUUUACUGGGCGUAAAGGGAGCGUAGGCGGCAGUGUAAGUCUGGAGUGAAAUGCGGGGGCUCAACCACCGUACUGCAUUGGAAACUGGACGGCUGGAGUGCAGGAGAGGAGAAUGGAAUGCCUAGUGUAGCGGUGAAAUGCGUAGAUAUUAGGAAGAACACCAGUGGCGAAGGCGACUUACUGGACUGUAACUGACGUUGAGGCUCGAAAGCGUGGGGAGCAAACAGGAUUAGAUACCCGGGUAGUC